GGUUCGGGACAGACGGAUAUUUUAGGAAAGAGGUGAAGGGAGAACGUCUCACUGGGGAACACUUUUACAUUUUAGUGUCACGGAUGCACACAGGGACGGAUUUUACCAGUUAAACGUGACAAACCUUUCGGUCCUAGCUUAGCAACUUAGCUUAGCAACACAACUAGCAUGAAAUAAAAUAAAGAGCUAUGCUAGUUCCAGAUGUGGUUAUCAAACAUGACUGAGGUGGUGUCUCUACUAAAACAACAAUAUACAUAAAAAUGUUGGCGUGUAGCUUUAGCCUCAGUCAGUCAUGUUUGCAGACACUAAAUAAAUAUUUAAAACUCUUCUGGACCAAACGAGCUCAUGCUUCCAGCCAACUGUGCAACGAAAGCCACAACAGUGAGAAGACUUCAGGCAGAGGAAAUAAUCAACUACAGCAAAUUACUUGUGUUUCUUUUGGCAAAAUUCUUGAUUCCAAAUACUAAAAAUACAAUAAAAGUAAUAUUCACACAGGGAAUUUGAGUAAAUUUGGACAAAAUAUGUUCAUAAAGCAGCGAUAAUUUUGGUGAAAGUUCUUUUACACACUGAAUAUAACAGGAUACGAGUGCAUUUGCCAAAACCACCAACACUCGGCGCCGCAAUAAAAGUGACUGUGACAAAGACGACUUUGUAUGCGGUUUACGUUUUUCCAUUAUCUCGUCUUUUGUUCGCGCUCCACAUUUGACUGCAGAAGUGCACCAUAAUAGCUCCGCGCCUCCAGCUGAGCAGGAGCCAACACAGUAACGGACGCAGGGCAGUUUCACGGCGCACGUAGCGGCUCGGCGAAGUUAUCUCUGCUCGCAGAGCUGAUAUCAGAGUUUAUUCAAACAGACUCCACUCUGCGCUACGGCGGCUCAGCUAUCAGCUACACACAUAUCUGCAGACUCGGACACUCCUGAGGGGUUUGCACAGGAGUCCUGCAAAAGAAUUCGUCUCCAUGCCUGGCUGCAACACUUAACUCAAGAAAGCCAUAAAAGUAUGUGGUCAAGGUGUGGCCGCCAGCCCUGGUGUUUGCUACUGGCUCACCAGAAAAACAUCUGCACACCAGGAAGCGUGAGGGGAGGCGACUGCACGGGGCCCCGAGGCCAGACAGAAACCCAAAAGGUGCACAAAUCUCAGGUGGAGACCGAGGGCAAAUUCCCAUGGGCGCUGCAGCGGCGACGAUACCUGCUCAAAAUCCCACAGGGUAUCGCUGGCGAGACCUAUAAAUAAACCGUGUGUCACAUCGCUGCUGCACUCUCAGAUAAACACAGUGGUAGUGUUGUGUAGUGCAGUGGCCCAGUGCUCUGCCUGAAGCUCGUCUAAAUCAUCACCUUUUAAUUUUAUCAUUCAGCAUCAUUCAGUAUAGUUUCAUUCUCAGUGGAAAUUUGUCUUAUUUGUGUCGUACUCUGGAAUUUCCCAAAUGACUGCAUCACAUCUUAACACGUCUUGGGCAAAAUGAUAAUAAAAUACAUUUGAAUUCAAUCAAUUUGAAAGUUUGAAUGGAGAAAUUUCCCCCCAAAAAAAGGGAAUGAAUGAAGACAGCGCAAAACAAAAGUCAUGAAAAAGUUUGCUAAAAGGGAAACGGUGCUCAUCUGGAAGAGGUGUGCGUAUCGAGCCAAAAGUCACACGUAACAUUUAGUCAGUGUGAAACUACAGUUAUUAUCGGCUGGAUGCUCACUGUCUGAUGAUCGCACAUGCAGAGCAGAGCGGAGCGGAGCAGAGCGACGACAGAGGAGGGAACCCUGUCUGCACAACAAGAAACCAAAUAUGGAGGAAACCAGCAGAGCCUCCAUGACACACACACACAAACACGUCAAAGGCUCUUCCUGGCGUCACGUGAUCAGGGUGUUGGUGAAAACGCUCAGAGUUCCCGGAGGCGUUUCUCCCUGCGCACACACCGAGCUUAAAAUAACAGCACGCAAACCCCCCAGGGGAGAAGAUUUAACAGGUAAGUGACCUGGGACCCAACCUCACAUGUCCCCUGCCCUCAAACAUCUCACCUUAGGUGGGUUUUAACACAUCCUCCAAUUGUUCUUGAGCAAAAACACCAUGAAAGAACAGUGCAGAGGUAAACAAACUCCUUUACUAGGGGAUGUCCCGAUCAAACUCUUUUAACCGAUACUGAUCUGUUAAUAUUGAAUAUCGGUUGAUCCCAUGUUAAAUAAACUAAAUUUCCUCCCCUGGAGAUUCAUAAAGGCUUUUCUUAGAGCUCAUAUCUUAAACCUGUGUCCUCUACUCCCGACAUGUUCUGGUCAUCCAUCGCCAUAAACUCCCUGUAACCCUCUCUGGAAUAUUUAUCUCAACAAUUUUACUUUAGCAACUGCUUUCGCAGCAUGUUUAGUCAUCUUUCAUCUUUCUUUUUGAUGCGAGCCAACUUCUAUUAAAACAGAAGAAGAAGAAUAACAGGCGGUUUAGACUUUUACGUCACUUUGUCCCCCCUAGCUACUUGGGGUGGGGAAAAAAAAUAUGGCAAUAUAUUGCGAUAUUUCAAUUAUGAAUGUCUUAAUAUCGAUGAUGGUAAAUCAUUCAAAAGAUUGAUUUGAGCCGAUCACCAACGACUUCUGCACCUCCACCACCACUUUUUUUUUUAACAAGUGCCACAAACUGUAAACGGAUCAUUUGGAUUAAUAUUUUUCUGAGCCGAUAUUUGGAGCCAAUACUGGCUUUUUCUCCAUCCAGUGACAUGAUAAAUAUUGACACAAUGAUAAUAAAUGUUACACGUCUCAAUUUAACCAAAAACAUAAGGAAUAUGUAUUGGCAAACGCAUCAGCAGAUACCAGAAAAAAAUGCAAAUAUCGGCCCGAUGUAUCGUCGAUCUCUACACCAAAGCCUCAAACAUGUUAACAUCAAAUUUGCGUUGCGUUUCUCUGCGUGUGUCCCCCCCAGAAGGGUCUUUGGUCACUACAGGGACGUGGUUUUGGUUUAUGACAGGCCAAAAACAUAUAACUGUAAGACAUCAGACUUGGCUGAAGCCCGAUAUCGAUCUCCCAGUAAUCUACCGUUUUCUUAACAGCCUGUUAACUUCAUGCUGGCACACUGGAUAUAUCCAACUCACUUAUUCCUAUUGAAGAAAGCAGCUAAAAAACCAGAUUCUUUGAUAUCAAUUCAUAAAAUACUUGUUAUUGUGUUAUAAAUAUGCUUGUUAGAAAUCUUGCUGUGGCUUCUCUAGGCUUAUUUUCCACUGAAUAGUCUUGAGAGAUGAUGGAACAAUGGCUGGUUGUGAAGCAGAUCUGAAAUCUGAGAGCUGAUGCAUGGCAACGCUGCAGAUUUUUUUAAAAAGUAUGAAGACGGAAGAGCUGAACAAGAAGUAAAGCCCACGCCAACAAGAGCUGAAACACGAAACUCAAAAAAAAACAUCACUUUUCUGAAAAUCUCUUUCAUAACCGAGCAAAACUGAUCUGAAACCCAAUUAAUUAAAUCGUGAUUCUGUGAACGAGAAUCAGAUCGAUUCUGGAAAUCGGUAGAGAUAUCGAACGGCUUCUCAAUAAAAGCUUCCCUGUGGUUUUCCCAGUAAAAAAAUCGAACAAGGCAUCAAACUGAAAUGAAAGUGAACUCUAAACCACAAAGAUUUAGUUACAAGCUAGAAAAGUAAAGAGCGAGACUUCUACCAACAGGACUUUAUCACACGCGCAGCCACACAAGUGUCAAAUGAAGGAGCCUGACAAGGCUGGUGUUUUGGGAGGAGACCAUCAGGAACGGGUCAGUUAAGGUCCCGUUGUGCUUUUAAGGAAAUACUUUUUUGUGUUUUCUGGCCGUUACAGAAGAAGCAACAUUCGUCCCUUGUAAAGGAUCAACGUGCUCCAGCUACUUAACGUGUAAACUGACAUCCAGUAUUUAAAUGCAAACCAUUUAAUAAACCCUUCAGAAUUAUUGCUACAGGAGCUUGGGCUCAUCCUCGCCGUAAACAGUCCACACCCACACCUCCACAGUGGGAUGUGCCGUUAUCACCGAGCCCAGACACAACUCUGAGACAGAUAAAAGUAACUCGAGCUGGACGACUUAGGACGAGAGCUUCUCCGAAGCAGCCGAGCGUUAGGAGGAUAUUCGCUCGGCUAACACCUAGCUUAGCAUUUCCACAUAGGUUUAAGCUGCUUUUAUGUUCUGACUUUUGUUGACGACGUUAAAUAUAAGGAAGCAAACCCAACGUGUAUAAUUGAGUUUGAUGUAUUUUAAGGGUAAAGCUUGCAGCUAUUUUCAUCACUAUUGAUAAAUAUAACAAUUAAGACUUGUUAAGAAAAAAAACUGUCUAAAACAACAUUCAAAUGUCUGUUUUUGCAAAAAGAAAAUUCUGAGAGACUGAAUAAUUCAUAAACCUUUGAAAAAAUCUUUUCUAAAACAAAUUUACAUGGAUAUCGAGCUGAGAAAAGCAGAUAAUAAUCCUCAAAUCAGAAAAGUUGGAAAUUACAGUUCUGGCUUGAUCCACUAUCAAAUUAAUCAUCUCAGCUCUUUUAAUAUCCGAGCUAGCUUCACAAAAACAAUCCUUUCAUAGACAAACAGACUUCAUGUGUCAAACAGUAGCCGUCACUUUUCACCUUAACCUGCAAGAAGAUGUGACUUCUCUUCCACAGACCAAUGUCCAAUCAACUGAGCUCACACCAAUGCAUGUAACACCCAUCCAGUGGACAUUUGUCCCGUGACUGGAGUCCCAUUUCAUCCAUUCAACAUCUCCCUCCCACCCGACCCCUCCUGCAGGAUCGUGACCUUUGCCGAGUCUCGACACAUCAUAAAAACCCAGCUACAAACAGGCCCAAGGUGUCAGAAGGCUGCAACAAAAAAGACAAGCUCCACAGAGUGGGACAAAUGUGGGAGACAAGUGAGGUGUCCAUGCUAAUUUUCAAAGGGCACCCCCCCCCGCCUCCUUUCCUGUGAGUAGUGGAAACAACUGCUAGACAAGUAAGUGGUACAGACAGAGCGGAGGCUUUAGCGUUAAUAAGCGGUACAUAGGUGGUUUACAGCACAUCUUUAGUCGCUUAUUGUAUGUUUGUGUAUCUCGCCUGAAGAAAAGAGGCGAUUUAAUCCUUUAAAGCUUUCAGAAUGGGCUGCGUUUGCAAGCGUUACUCAAACGUUUCCCCAUGUGCUAAAGGAACGCUAAUGCAUCGGCUCCAAGCUUCAUUUACAUAAACUGUCGGACCUGCCAGUAGUUCCUGAAAUGCAGCAUAACCUUUUUCUCAAGUUGGGUUUGAAUUCGGUUGAAUUACUCCAGAUCUCCAGGGGCAAGAAAUCUCACAUAGGGUCCACUAAUCUGUCCAGUCCUGAAACUAACGAGGCUACGGUGUGAACGCAGACCGUAGAAAUGUAACGGCGUUGCAGAAGAGCUGCGAUUGGUCCACUUGGUUGUAACGUGUUUCAGUAUUUCCAGCUGCUUCUCCAUCACCACCACUUUUGAACUGAUUGUAUGUAUUGAUUACAUGGGUGGAAUUCAGCACUGGGAGUGAAAUUAAAGUUUUCAAAGAAUUCUUGAUAUUAUUGCUGUAAUGUUUAAUGUUAAAGCAAACAGAUAACUUCAACAAACUCUUUUUUUUUUACUAGAAGUAUUUACAGUGAUGAAAUCUACAAAACCACACGAGGCAGAGAUUUACCACGAUGGUGUUUGGCUCCGUUUUGGUUUUACCAGGCUACUGUUUUUAGCCGUUGUUAGCAUGAAAUUGCCAUGUAGUUCACAUAUAACACAUGAUAAACUUAAAUUACACUCUAACAGCAUUUCAACAUAUGUAUGUCGAAAAAUACUAUCUGUACGACCGAUUUACUGCAACAAAAACUCAUCAGAAGUGCUAAUAAAUGGAGCAUCAGCAGCUUCUAACUACUGUUUACACACGGGGCGGCCAUCUUGGAAACUCAACUCGAGGGGGUACUUCCAGCUGAAAAGUCCAACUCAGAACUUGGAAAUUCCAACUUCUGAGUACAAAUGAAACGCACCAACAGACUUGAGCUUUGGCAAAAUUUUUGUCGAAAGUGAAGCAGGAAGUAGAAACAAAAAUUAACCCGACUGGAAAAAAACAAAAGACACAUUUUUUAGUGCAGAGUGUGCACCUAUAAAUGUCUCACACCGUACAAGUGUGCUGCUCCACCAUUUUUUGGGGGGUGAGGGCUUUUGGGAUGUGAGGUUAUUUUCCGAACCCAUCUUUUCUGUCCAGUAGCAGCAACAGGUGCCACAGCAGGAGAAGAAACUAACUCGCUUAGCCAGAGUGGCUGCAUUUUGUUGGCAGUUAAAAGUUAAAUGUUGUUUUCUGGACGGUGAUAUUCAGCUUGAUCUUAUUUACAACUAACAUGAUUAUGCUACAUUAAAACCACAGAAAAAAAAAAUAAAAAAAAAUAAAUCAGUCGACCGUCCGAAUUUGGCUUUUGGCGGUGAUCUCUGCAAGACAACACGUCGCUGAUCCACUGAAGGCAAAAGGAGAGCAGUGAUUCAGCUAAAUGCCAGAAAUGGGAGCUUCAGCAUUACAGUCAGUCUGAGCCGGCGACGGUCAAGUCAGACCUGUGAGUCGGCAAAAAUACGGUAGGAGAGGAAGUGGAGCUGAGUGAGCAUGUGAAGCGAGCAAGGCUAACAACAACAACAACUACUCCACAAAUCUGUAAAAUAUACAAACUGCCACUUCUGUCAAUCACUACCCCUUAACCCCUCAAUCCCAGUUCAUUAUGUUAUUUCUGCACACGUAAAUAAUAAUUCAACAUAAAUGAAGACAGAGAAAACAUGUUUGGACAUUAGCUGAACAAUUCCCCCUUAUACAAUUUAAUGGCCCUGCCUUAAAAUUACCCCGUGGGGGAGGUCUGACGACUAGCGGCAAUGUUUUAACAGGGUUGUAUUGUGCAUGUGCCCAGAGAAGACGCAUCUUUGCUGUAGAUUUCAGUGAAUUUAGUCUAGUCAUGUGCUUCCAACGGCAGCGAAGGAGACAAACCACCAGGAAAACAGGGAUAGAAACGAAGCACGGAUUUAAAUUUGUUUCUGUGAACGAUGCCGACUACACACUUUUUAUUUACAUAUGUUAUGUCGAAAACGCCCGCAGGGCAUCGUUAGGGCUGCGACCAGUGUGUUAUUCAGACAAGCCUGAGGGGAAAUUGUUGCAUGCCAGAGAAUCAAUGGUGGUUUUUGGUGACAAUAUGAAGAAUGCAGCCACACACCCCGGUGACGAGACAAGUCGCAGCCUUGUUUGUUACCAAUACUACCAGCAACCGAACACGGGAGGUACAAGUCUGACGCUAGAAGCGAAACACAUUUUCACCGGAUCGGUUUCAAAAGCUCACAUUAUUUACGAUAUUAACGUCCUCUCUGAACUCUGCGUGGAGACACAUGCUUCUCCCCAUCUGGCCAGGUCUUAUUUUCUGUCUCCUAACAUCAUGACUCAGCGGCUGAUCGGUUUUUUUUUUUACAUGUAACUGCCUCCCAUACGCUGCAGAUUCUAUGUUAUAAACCUGUUGCUUUCUACGUGGGUUUCACUUAAUUGCAUUUUAUGAUUAUGCGUCAUGUUUAAGUCUGGCUCCGAGUCAAACUUCAUAAGCGAAAGUUCAGCGAGCAGAAAUAACAGUGAAACCAUUCAGGAGCGGCGUGUCCCGAGCCAAGUGUAAAAUGUACUGCUUCUCCUCUUGCUACAAAUUAAAGUCACAAACUCCCACUGUGAUCUGUGUAAAUACGUUUUCAGCCACUCAGCUGGUGGACUUAUCCACAACAGCAGCCUGGGAUCUUCUUAAAGGGCGCACAGAGAGCACACAUGACUGAUUAAAGACCAUUCCACCAUUGUUCUGACAUACUCUGAUUCAGCUACUUACUUUUUCAUUACUGAACAAUGUAACAGUGGCCGCAAAGCACAGUGGGGCAAAAACUUCCCCAUGGGUGUUGCCGAAUUUAGAAAAUCACUUAAAAGCAACACAGAAAAGCUAAAAUCUUGAAUAGUACUAGUAAAAGAAUAAAAAGUCAUUCAUAAUUUACAGCCCUAUAGGAUAUAGGACAAAAGCACAAAUAAGGCUGCCCACAAAAAACACAGCAACAUAAGUAAUAAGAGAAUUUCAGCGACUAAUGUUUGAUGAGAACUUACCAGAUGCUAAUAGCUAGAAUAAAAAUACUGCUAACUUGUGCAUUUACAAGUUGUAGGAAGAUUAUUUAUGUUUCUGGAAACCUAGAAACUCUCUAUUAAUGUUACAUGUUAAGUAACAGCCUUUUACGGAUUAAUAAUUCAAAUGCAUUUACAAUUACUAACAGUACAAUCAUUAAAGCUAAAUUAUACUUCACACUGUGCAUGUUUAUUCACUGCAGAAGAUACUAAAUAACACAUUUCCUGGAUAGGUUUACAUGACAUAAUGCUUAACCUUUGUGAUGAAUUUCUAAAAAGACAAAGCUUGGAUGAGCGGUGAAAAGUUCUUUUGCCUUUGUUUUAGCUCUGCUUGUUUAAUAUACAAUGACCUGGAUAACUCACAUUCUGUGACAACGGUAUAGUUAGUUUAUCACCAGACGGUUCUUUGUGCUACAAUAUAAUCAUGAUGAGAAAAUGUAUUCGUAAAAGUUCAGAAUUUAUUUAGAGGUUAAGUUAAACUAAACGGUUUAUCGACCACUUAUUGAUUAAAAAACUAACAAAGCGAUGGAUUAAACAUGACUCCUUCCAUGUUAACAUCCAAGCAGACGAGUCUUAGAUUUUAUGUAUAACAGCAUUUUGAACCACAUCUCUGAACACAGGCGCCUACACAACAUAAAUGAAGGAGACACUAUUCCCUGAUUAUCUUUAACGAUGGCUCUGAGCCAGGUUUAUGUGCUGAUGUGACAGCUUUUGGAGCAAAUCCAUCUAACUGCCCCCCUCGCAGACUGGUCCAGACCAGACCACCAGUACAGGCCGUACCCUGAAGUCCACACUAGUGACACAUGGUUCAGUUUUGUCUAGAGAGAUAGAAAAAAAAAACACACAAAACAACGCAUACAGCUGAGAGGCCACACUCAUGAGCAGGAGGGCCUGGAUGUGUAGCUGCAAAACAGACAACAACACAUGUCUGUGAGACGAGGAACCGUGUCGCCUUGACACCGACGAGGGAGCGGUCUCCUCCAACCAGGAUCAUCAAUAAUCACAUAAUCGUUUUGUCUCACUGUCACUUUGAGAACCAGUCUUGACUGAGAACUAAAUCCAGGAGGCAUUUCACUGGUAAGACAUGAAUCACAGUGAUUAGUCGCUGGGGUGAUUCUAGGCUCAGAGCUUUAGGGGUGAUUUAAUGUCAAACUACUGUGGCACAAAGCUAACGCUCAGUUUAAACAAUAAAGAAAAGAUGAUUUCGUAACAAUAAGUGGGAAACACACAUAAAGAUAUGAAGGUCAAUAAAGAUAAAGACAUCAUUAUUCUCUCCUUUGUAUCAUUUUAGACUUUUAGCAGUCAACCCCCCCAAAAAUGUAGCUUAAACCACAUAUUUUCUACUACUGUGCUGUUUUUUUGUCCUAUUAUCAAACAAAUCCUUUUUGAAAAAACAGUCUUUUCAAUUCGUAUAUCUAAAGGGUGCUGAGAGAAAGUUUAGGACCCAUAAAAAAAAAAAAAAAAAAAAAAAAAAAAAAAUUGGCCAGACACGCCUGUGAUUAGUUGUAAGCUCAUCCAAGAGCAGCCACGAUGACUUUGCCUGCUAGCCACCAAGCUAACGUCGAGUGGGUGCGGACGCGCAUGUGGGGAGACGGGGUUUGCUUUGACAACACGUACACGACAUGACAACCGGCUCAUUAACGACGACACGGCCGGGCUGUGUCACACGGGGCAACGCGCACCGAUGCCCGGCCCCGGAUCGUGUGCAGUAAAAGCCAGUAGCCACCUAGCCAGCUAGCAGCCAUGCGCCCAUGCCUUUCUCUUCGGGGGGAACACGUGGAGUGAACACGUGACGUCUCACAACAAAACCUUGCUCCUAUUUUAAGCGAUUAAACGAGCGCAUGUUUAACGCGGGGCCGCAUUUAAGUGUUUAAAGCGUAUUUUGGGGAGGCCGUGGAGAUGACACGCGUCACGCCGGGUGGAUUUUAAGUGGGCAGGGGCCACCUGGGAGCUAACGCUAGGACUAGGCCAGAGACGAGUCUCUACCGUGCGCUAUUGUUAGCCGGCUAAGCUGCUACACAACCCAGCCAAGAUCGUGGCUUUGCAGCUAAUUGGUGCAACGUGAGACACGGGUGGAUGUCUCGUUUAGUCGGUGUCUGGCGUGAAAGGAGAACAAAAAAAAAGACAGUAAACAGUAGUAAGCGGUGGUUUAAAUAUUUGGCGAGUAUUGGGAGUGGGUGCCAGCUAAGGUUUGACUGACUGGGUGGCAGCGAGGGAGGGAGGGAGGGGGGGUGAGGAGAAGAUGGUGAUGCAGCGCACAUGAUUUUUUUUUUUUUUUUAACUUCAUCCCUUCUGAAAGUUUCAAGCCUCUGCAGCCAGCGUGCGGCACAAUGACACUGCUAAAAAGGAAAUGAAACACUCCUUUCCAUUAAAAAAAAAAAUAUACCCACUGAGAUCCAAAAAAAAAAGUGCAUGCAGUUUUCAUCUUGAGCUUUGACACAAGCUGAGCGACCUCACAACCACUGCACGGCAACACAACGUGUCGCAAACGUGCACCAAAAAAAAAAAAUUAAAAAAAAGCAUAUGAAUAGGAUAAUUUAGAGUAGGCUCAAAGUUAAGUCAGGAGCAGAGAAUUUUUUUGGGGGGGGGUCACUCAGAUCCUCCAAAUAUUAUCAGAUCAUCAGAUAUUUUUGGAGCAUUUCAAGUGUUUUAAAGGGUGUGAUCACUUGUGUAAUCAGUCGCCCGUGAACCCCAAGAAUAGCCUCCACCAGUAUGGAGUAUGAUGUGGGGUGGGGGGGGGGGAGUGGCGGCUUUCACUCCAAAUAUAACCAGCUUACAGGGAGCAACAAGAGGUCGACCACAGCCAGGGACGCGCUUAUCAAUCUACUUGCGUGUUUCUUUUUUUUAAGUGUGUGUGUGGUUCAAUAAAUACUACGUUGCCCCCCCUGUGUGUCUGUGUGUGUGUGUGUGUGGAGCAACAAGGCGACCACACCUGGACGCACAGACACCAAGACAACACUGACAGUCAGUAAAUCAACA